CACGUAGGGGGCGAGCGUUGUCCGGAUUUAUUGGGCGUAAAGAGCUCGUAGGCGGCUCGGUAAGUCGGGUGUGAAACCUCCAGGCUCAACCUGGAGACGCCACCUGAUACUGCUGUGGCUAGAGUCCGGUAGGGGAGUGUGGAACUCCUGGUGUAGCGGUGAAAUGCGCAGAUAUCAGGAAGAACACCAGCGGCGAAGGCGGCGCUCUGGGCCGGAACUGACGCUGAGGAGCGAAAGCGUGGGUAGCAAACAGG
rnacentral:rRNA from 1 species